rnacentral:rRNA from 1 species
ACAAUUAAAUACACUAUCACGAAGGGGAUUGAGCUAAUUAAUUAAGUUAAGUAGAGCUAUAACCAUGUGUUGCAAUAUAUGGCUAAUAUAAUUAAUUAGGGGUGAUAGGCCUCACAAGACCUCCGAUAUCUUGUUUUUCAGGAAAUAUAUUAAGUAUUUUUUCAACUUAGGAGUGUCUAGGCUCUUAAGUCCUACUAAUUUAAAUUAAUAGUACAGUAAAUUGCCUAACGGCAAUUAUCUAAACAAGAUUAAUAUUAAUCAUUUAGACUUGUAUACACCUACUGGAACAUGAAUAGAAACUAACUAUACAAUGUUACUGUUAAUAUUAGUAUACACUAAAGGUUUUUAUAGGAACUCGGCAAAUGACUUCUCAACUGUUUAUCAAAAACAUAGCUAGGUGAAUUAUUAAUAUCUGGUGAUUCCUGCUCAAUGGUUUGUCUAAAUAGCCGCAGUACCCUGACUGUGCAAAGGUAGCAUAAUCAUUUGGCUUAUAAUUGAAGUCUAGCAUGAAAGGAUAAAUGGGGAGUGACUGUCUUUAAAAGCUAAUUAGAAAUUACUUAGCAAGUGAAAAUUCUUGCGGAUACCUAACAGACGAGAAGACCCUAGAAGUUUUGUAUAUUAGUAAUAAGAUAUUAACAUUAUUUUGUUGGGGCGACAGAGUAGCAAUGAACCUAUUUUUACAGAUUUGAACUAUGUGUUGAGUUAAAUUAAACUACUCUAGGGAUAACAGCAUAAUUUAUUAAAGUUUGUGACCUCGAUGUUGGACUAGGGAUCUUAGUGCUUAGAAGGUACUAUGACAAGCUCUGUUCGAGCUGUAUUCCCUACAUGAUCUGAGUUCAGACCGGC